UGAAUGGGGCAUACCCACUAGUUGGAAGAUCUAGUAUCCUUAACAGGAGGCAAACCCGGGGAUCUGAAACAUCUAAGUACCCGGAGGAGAAGAAAACAAAAGUGAUUCCGUUAGUAGUGGCGAGCGAACGCGGAGCAGCCCAAACCCAUUUUGUUACGGCAAAGUGGGGGUAAUAGGCCUGCGAUGUUCAAUGCUAAGCGAAUUAGAAUCUACUGGAAAGUAGGACCAUAGAGGGUGAUAGUCCCGUAUAGGUAAGCGCAGUUAUUGAUAGCAGUAUCCUGAGUAGUGUCGGGGCACGUGGAAACCUUGCAUGAAUUUG
rnacentral:rRNA from 1 species